AUGUCCUUCGUCGCCGUGCGGUCGAGGCACGGCCCGUGGAUCGUCGGCGUCGGCGGCAACGCACCCAUUGACUACGGCCCCGAGACCAUCGUCUUCGACACCAGGACGCACCAGGUGAUCCCGGGACCGAAGCUCGUGUCGACCAAGCUCUGCCCGAUCCUGCUACCGGUCGGCGACAGGAUCUAUGCCCUGACACGUUACCCUGCCAUGAAGGGGGGUAUCAAUUUCGUGCCUUGGUUCCAGGUGCUCGAUCUCUCCCAGGCGCGAGUGGUCAGUGGCCGUCUCGUGGACUGCAAAUGGGAGCAGCUGCCCCGGCCGCCCUGCUUCCCCUGGGAGCUCUCCCCAAGGCACUACAUCUUCCCGCCGAUGGUCAGGGUCAGGUCCUUUGUAUCCGUGAGCUCCUGCAUUCUGGUGUCGAUGGAUGAACAGAAGGGCACGCACAUGUUCAACUUGGAGACACAGCAAUGGUCGAAACUGGACGACAAGAAUCUGCCAUUCACCGGAGGCGCCGUCCCUCAUGGCCCCCUGUUCCUUGGCUUUUCAACUGCCGCCAAAAGGAUCGCCGCUUACAACAUCACAGUCUGCGCCACCGACUCACCAAGCCCAAGCAUCACAGCAGGGUCCCUAUCCUUGUCAAUUACUGAGUUCCCGGUGGUGGAUGAGGCAGGGGAGGAGGUCGUUAGCAAUGGCAAAUUUGUUUCCCUCGGGAACCAUGGCUUCUGUUCGUUUAGAUGUCGCACCGAUGACCUUGUGCUCGGUACUCUUGAGCAUACACGGGAACUUGUCACCAUGAGAGCAUACGCAACAGAGGAACACCUCUCACAAGAUCACCUCAAGUCUGUUCGCAACGUAGUGAUCUCCAGCCAAAUGGAACAGGUUUACAGCGUCCGCGAUUCACUUCGGGGACUUUCUUGGCCAUCCUUGGUAGAUGUGAUAUCCCUGUGA
rnacentral:rRNA from 1 species